UGCCGCCUUAGCUCAGUUGGUUAGAGCGCUGGAUUGUGGAUCCAGAGGUCCCCCGUUCGAGCCGGGGAGGCGGUACCA
rnacentral:tRNA from 1 species